rnacentral:rRNA from 1 species
UUUAGUCUAUUCAGAGGAACCUGUCUUGUAAUCGAUAAUCCACGAUGGACCUUACUUAAGUUUGUAUUCAGUUUAUAUACCGUCGUUAUUAGAAUAUUUUAUAAGAAAGUUAAUUUUCAAGAUUUUUAAAAAGAAAAUAUAUCAGAUCAAGGUGUAGCUUAUAUUUAAGUAUUGAUGGGUUACAAUAAAAUUAUUUAAAUGGAUAUAAAUUUGAAAAAUUUAUUGAAAGUGGAUUUGAUAGUAAAAUUAUAUAGAUUAAUAAUUUGAUUUUAGCUCUAAAAUAUGCACACAUCGCCCGUCACUCUUAUUACUAAGGUAAGAUAAGUCGUAACAUAGUAGAUGUACUGGAAAGUGUACCUAGAAUGCAAUUUAAAGCUUAUUCAGUAAAGCAUUUCAUUUACAUUGAAAAGAUUUUUGUGCAAAUCAAUAUAAAUUGAUUGUAUUUUAUUUAUUAAUUAAUUUUUUUUUUAUUAUAAAUUAUUAAAAAUAAUUAUUAUAUGAUUUGUUUGAGUAUUUUAUAAAGAAAAAAUAAUUUUAAUUAUAGUUAAAUA